AUACGGAGGGGGUUAGCGUUGUUCGGAAUUACUGGGCGUAAAGCGCACGUAGGCGGACUGGAAAGUUGGGGGUGAAAUCCCGGGGCUCAACCCCGGAACUGCCUCCAAAACUUCCAAUCUAGAGAUCGAGAGAGGUGAGUGGAAUUCCAAGCGUAGAGGUGAAAUUCGUAGAUAUUUGGAGGAACACCAGUGGCGAAGGCGGCUCACUGGCUCGAUACUGACGCUGAGGUGCGAAAGCGUGGGGAGCAAACAGGAUUAGAAACCCUAGUAGUCC
rnacentral:rRNA from 1 species